rnacentral:rRNA from 1 species
UACAGAGGGUGCAAGCGUUGUUCGGAAUUAUUGGGCGUAAAGAGCUCGUAGGCGGUCUUGCACGUCGGCUGUGAAAUUUCGGGGCUCAACCCCGAACUUGCAGUGGGUACGGGCAGACUAGAGUGUGGUAGAGGAGACUGGAAUUCCUGGUGUAGCGGUGAAAUGCGCAGAUAUCAGGAGGAACACCGAUGGCGAAGGCAGGUCUCUGGGCCAUAACUGACGCUGAGAAGCGAAAGCAUGGGGAGCGAACAGG